rnacentral:rRNA from 1 species
GACGAACGCUGGCGGCGUGCCUAAUACAUGCAAGUAGAACGCUGAAGGAGGAGCUUGCUUCUCUGGAUGAGUUGCGAACGGGUGAGUAACGCGUAGGUAACCUGCCUGGUAGCGGGGGAUAACUAUUGGAAACGAUAGCUAAUACCGCAUAAGAGUAGAUGUUGCAUGACAUUUGCUUAAAAGGUGCAAUUGCAUCACUACCGGAUGGACCUGCGUUGUAUUAGCUAGUUGGUGGGGUAACGGCUUACCAAGGCGACGAUACAUAGCCGACCUGAGAGGGUGAUCGGCCACACUGGGACUGAGACACGGCCCAGACUCCUACGGGAGGCAGCAGUAGGGAAUCUUCGGCAAUGGACGGAAGUCUGACCGAGCAACGCCGCGUGAGUGAAGAAGGUUUUCGGAUCGUAAAGCUCUGUUGUAAGAGAAGAACGAGUGUGAGAGUGGAAAGUUCACACUGUGACGGUAUCUUACCAGAAAGGGACGGCUAACUACGUG